GUAGGGAAUAUUGGUCAAUGGACGAAAGUCUGAACCAGCCAUUCCGCGUGCAGGAAGAAGAUUCUAUGGAUUGUAAACUGCUUUUAGCAGAGAAGAAACGCCUUCAUUGAUGAGGGUUUGACGGUUUCUGCGGAAUAAGCACCGGCUAACUCCGUGCCAGCAGCCGCGGUAAUACGGGGGGUGCAAGCGUUAUCCGGAAUCACUGGGUUUAAAGGGUGCGUAGGCGUGAAAUUAAGUCAGUGGUGAAAGUCUGUUGCUUAACGAUAGAAUUGCCGUUGAUACUGAUUUUCUUGAAUUGGGUUGAGGUUAGCGGAAUGUGACAUGUAGCGGUGAAAUGCAUAGAUAUGUCAUGGAACACCAAUUGCGAAGGCAGCUAGCUGGGCCUUGAUUGACGCUGAGGCACGAAAGCGUGGGUAGCGAACAGGAUUAGAUACCCCAGUAGUCC
rnacentral:rRNA from 1 species